rnacentral:rRNA from 1 species
CCGAUCCUCCCACCCUUUGUGUACCCACCUCUGUUGCUUUGGCGGGCCGCGGUCCUCCGCGGCCGCCCUCCGUCCGGGGGGUGGCCAGCGCCCGCCAGAGGACCAUCGAACUCCGGUCAGUGAACGUUGCCGUCUGAAAAACAAUCAAUAAACUAAAACUUUCAACAACGGAUCUCUUGGUUCUGGCAUCGAUGAAGAACGCAGCGAAAUGCGAUAAGUAAUGUGAAUUGCAGAAUUCAGUGAAUCAUCGAAUCUUUGAACGCACAUUGCGCCCCUCGGUAUUCCGAGGGGCAUGCCUGUUCGAGCGUCAUUACAACCCUCAAGCUCUGCUUGGUGUUGGGCACCGCCCUUCCGCGGGCGCGCCUCAAAGACCUCGGCGGUGGCGUCUUGCCUCGAGCGUAGUAGAAAACACCUCGCUUUGGAGCGCACGGCGCCGCCCGCCGGACGAACCUUUUGAACUUUCUCAAGGUUGACCUCG